rnacentral:lncRNA from 1 species
AGAUUAGGGGUUUCAUUCAUGAAAGCGAAGAGGGACCAAAUAAAUUUUUUUAGCGGUCUCUUUAAGACUUUGGAAAAGAUAAAGAAGGCCACCAUACUCCUUCAAAACAAAAGAAAGAAAAAGAUAAUAAGCAGAAGGGGAAAAAAGAGAAAAGAUUGCUCGCAUCAAUUCUUUCCUCUCUCUCUCUCUCUCUCUCUCUCUCAAGUUUCACGAUUAUGUCAUAGAGAUAUUUCCGUUUAUUGAUUAAUUCUGAAUUCUAUAUAAAUGUAGCAAGAAAUAGACGAUAGAUAGAGA